GACGAGGGAUCCUAGCGUUGUUCGGAAUCAUUGGGCGUAAAGCGGGUGUAGGUGGCUAUAUAAGUCGGGUGUGAAAGCCCUGGGCUCAACCCAGGAAGUGCAUUCGAUACUGUUUAGCUUGAGCGCGGGAGAGGUUACUAGAAUUCUUGGUGUAGUGGUGAAAUACGUAGAUAUCAAGAGGAAUACCGGAGGCGAAGGCGGGUAACUGGCCUAGCACUGACACUCAGACCCGAAAGCGUGGGGAUCAAACAGG
rnacentral:rRNA from 1 species